rnacentral:rRNA from 1 species
GACGAACGCUGGCGGCGUGCUUAACACAUGCAAGUCGAACGGAAAGGCCCUGCUUUUGUGGGGUGCUCGAGUGGCGAACGGGUGAGUAACACGUGAGUAACCUGCCCUUGACUUUGGGAUAACUUCAGGAAACUGGGGCUAAUACCGGAUAGGAGCUCCUGCUGCAUGGUGGGGGUUGGAAAGUUUCGGCGGUUGGGGAUGGACUCGCGGCUUAUCAGCUUGUUGGUGGGGUAGUGGCUUACCAAGGCUUUGACGGGUAGCCGGCCUGGGAGGGUGACCGGCCACAUUGGGACUGGGAUACGGCCCAGACUCCUACGGGAGGCAGCAGUGGGGAAUAUUGCACAAUGGGCGGAGGCCUGAUGCAGCAACGCCGCGUGCGGGAGGACGGCCUUCGGGUUGUAAACCGCUUUCGCCUGUGACGAAGCGUGAGUGACGGUAAUGGGGAAAGAAGCACCGGCGAACUACGU